rnacentral:lncRNA from 1 species
CACCAUUUCCAGGAUGAUGGCUGCACUAUCAGAUCAUUACUGUUAAUGAUAUCAUGGGUGGCCUUCCAUCAUACCAGCAUGGUUGCAUGACCCAAUGGUAUAUAAGUUGGUUGCAUUUAGGGCCAUGGUUAAUAGGGCAUAUACCCAUGUCACUAAGUGAUGAGAUAGAGAGGAGGAAUUGGCCUAUAUAUGUACAUAAGGAUCUAAAUAUGGGUAUAAGCAGUGGUGAUAUUCAGUGGGUUCGCACAGAUUUGGCUGAACCCAUUGUUAAAAUUUUCAAAGUUUUCCGAAUCUUGUUAAACACACAUAACAUUUCUCAGUGGUUUUGUU